rnacentral:rRNA from 1 species
UACGUAGGGCGCAAGCGUUGUCCGGAAUUAUUGGGCGUAAAGAGCUCGUAGGCGGCUUGUCACGUCGGGUGUGAAAGCCCGGGGCUUAACCCCGGGUCUGCAUUCGAUACGGGCUAGCUAGAGUGUGGUAGGGGAGAUCGGAAUUCCUGGUGUAGCGGUGAAAUGCGCAGAUAUCAGGAGGAACACCGGUGGCGAAGGCGGAUCUCUGGAACGGUACUGACGCUGAGACGCGAAAGCGUGGGGAGCGAACAGG